CGAACGAUGAAGCCCAGCUUGCUGGGUGGAUUAGUGGCGAACGGGUGAGUAACACGUGAGUAACCUGCCCUCGACUCCAGGAUAAGCCCGGGAAACUGGGUCUAAUACUGGAUAUUCAAUUUCCAUCGCAUGGUGGUUUUUGGAAAGGAUUCUGGUCGAGGAGGGACUCGCGGCCUAUCAGCUUGUUGGUGAGGUAAUGGCUCACCAAGGCGACGACGGGUAGCCGGCCUGAGAGGGUGACCGGCCACACUGGGACUGAGACACGGCCCAGACUCCUACGGGAGGCAGCAGUGGGGAAUAUUGCACAAUGGGCGAAAGCCUGAUGCAGCGACGCCGCGUGAGGGAUGACGGCCUUCGGGUUGUAAACCUCUUUCAGUAGGGAAGAAGCGAAAGUGACGGUACCUGCAGAAGAAGCGCCGGCUAACUACGUGCCAGCAGCCGCGGUAAUACGUAGGGCGCAAGCGUUAUCCGGAAUUAUUGGGCGUAAAGAGCUCGUAGGCGGUUUGUCGCGUCUGCCGUGAAAGUCCGGGGCUUAACUCCGGAUCUGCGGUGGGUACGGGCAGACUAGAGUGCUGUAGGGGAGACUGGAAUUCCUGGUGUAGCGGUGAAAUGCGCAGAUAUCAGGAGGAACACCGAUGGCGAAGGCAGGUCUCUGGGCAGUAACUGACGCUGAGGAGCGAAAGCAUGGGGAGCGAACAGGAUUAGAUACCCUGGUAGUCCAUGCCGUAAACGUUGGGC
rnacentral:rRNA from 1 species